CCCCUCCCCUGGCACUUGCAUUGGCACUGGAUUGCAGGUGGGGGAAGGGCCGCUGCUCCCAACCACCUUUUAAUCCCACCACUUACACACAGGCAAAGAAGCAGAGCCGCGGGGGCUGGAGGCUCAUUCCUCCCCUGCCCUUCCCCUAGAGCGCUGCUUUGAAUGUCUGUUGAUCUAGAACGGGGUCUGUUCAUUCAUGGGUUCCAGGUCCCAAGCGCCCGGGAGCAGCUGAGAGCAAAGCUGGCGCCCUCCCUACCCCGUGGAGCUCACACUCUGGUUCUGGGCAGUGCGCAGUGGAGAUUGGUUGAAUCAGUGAAUGAACUUUUUAAGGAUAUGGUCCAAGGUGCUGAAAACUUCCUAACAAAACUCUUCAGCCAAAUCUGGCACGCCUGUGGUUCCAGCUACUGGGUAGACCGAGGCAGGAGGAUCGCUUGAGGCCAAGAGUUCAACGCCAACCUGGGCAACAUGACCUAGGACCCUACGAGAGGAGGGAUCUGGAGGCCAGGACAGGAGCAGGACAACACAAACAGAGGCCUCAGAAGAAGACUCAGAGUGGGACAGGGGUUCCUUAAGUGAUCGGGGCUGGAAGUGCACAGAGAAGCCUGGUGCAGCAGGGAAUUUUCUCUCCCUGGGGUGCUGCCAAGAUGAAGAAACUGAGGUUUAGAGAAGCCACUUGCCCAGUGUAGACAGCGAGAAGGACAGGUCCAGGUCUGCUUGAUGAUGAAGCCUGUGUCUUCUUUGCUGUGUGAUCCUCAUCACGUUAGGGGAUUCCUGAGGAAGCAGAGGAUUUUGCCCUUGCAUUUGAGCCACAGCAGCUCUACGGAACAGAAGGCACCGGCGAGAGGCCCUCCUUGUCAGCACCAGGGACAGAUUGCUCAAGAAUCUGUGUGCUCCAAGGCACAAGAGGGGUGCUGUCUCCUUUUCUGGAGUUCCAUCUCAUGCCUAC